rnacentral:rRNA from 1 species
UACGAAGGGGCUAGCGUUGCUCGGAAUUACUGGGCGUAAAGCGCACGUAGGCGGUCUUUUAAGUCGGGGGUGAAAUCCUGGAGCUCAACUCCAGAACUGCCUUCGAUACUGGAAGACUCGAGUCCGGGAGAGGUGAGUGGAACUGGCGAGUGUAGAGGUGAAAUUCGUAGAUAUUCGCAAGAACACCAGUGGCGAAGGCGGCUUACUGGUCCAUAACUGACGCUGAGGUGCGAAAGCGUGGGGAGCAAACUAGGG